rnacentral:rRNA from 1 species
AUACGUAGGGUGCAAGCGUUAAUCGGAAUUACUGGGCGUAAAGCGUGCGCAGGCGGUUUUGUAAGACAGAGGUGAAAUCCCCGGGCUCAACCUGGGAACUGCCUUUGUGACUGCAAGGCUAGAGUGCAGCAGAGGGGGAUGGAAUUCCGCGUGUAGCAGUGAAAUGCGUAGAUAUGCGGAGGAACACCGAUGGCGAAGGCAAUCCCCUGGGCCUGUACUGACGCUCAUGCACGAAAGCGUGGGGAGCAAACAGGAUUAGAUACCCCGGUAGUCCACGCCCUAAACGAUGUCAACUGGUUGUUGGGUCUUCAUUGACUCAGUAACGAAGCUAACGCGUGAAGUUGACCGCCUGGGGAGUACGGCCGCAAGGUUGAAACUCAAAGGAAUUGACGGGG